AAAGAAUGAAAUAGAGCACUCAAAACUUGAGUUAUCUUUCCAACUCUCUCAGUUUAAGAUUCUAUCAUUCCUUCUUGUUUACAAUUUGAUAACAUUUUCCCUCAAUGUAUAUUGCAUCAGUCUCUUCUUACAAAAAAAGUUUAGUCUCCUAAUUAUUAAUUUCUAAGAGAUCUACCUAUAUAUGGUUACUUUCAUAUAUUUUCCUGUCGAUAAAUGAUAAAGGCGGUGAUUGUUAUGGAUCCAAAAAGACAGAUCAAGAUGUCGGAUCCAACAUAAUCGAAAUUUAAAGAUUUGGAGGUACAGAUCCAAGUACGGAGUCUAGUGAGGGUGUUCUAGCACGGAUGCAGGUAACGGUGGUGAUUGUUAUGGAUUCAACAUGACAUUGCAGGUGUUUGAUACAGAUGCAGAUGUAGAGAUCAGAUCCUUAAUGACCUAAAUUUUAAGAUUUGGGUGUAUGAAUCCAGGUAGGAACUCUGGUGUGGGUAUCCAAGUAUGGAUACACGUACGGGUGAUGAUUGUUAUGGAUCCAGAUAGACAGGUAAGUCUAGCCUUUCCAUAAUUCUAGUUUAUUCAUUUUCAGUAGAGGUUGUGAAUAAUUUAAAAAUACAAACUAAGUUGCUCGUACUCCAGUGCAAGUACGGAUCUAGAGAUCGGAUCCAGGGACAACUGUCCUCAGAACAGGGGAUCCACUUGAACUAUGAUUUCCAGGGCUAUGACCUGCCUUGGGUGUAGUACCCAUAUAGAUGAAAUCAUGAUAUAAUUUGACUGAAUCUAUUUUGGUUUGAGUCAGAGAGAUUUUUGGUUGAGAAUGGUCGCAGCAGCAGCAUCUGCAGGUGGGAAGAUGUCAUCUUAGGUUAAGUCGGUGUCCAGAUCAAGAUCGAGGUAGUCGGGCGAUGGAGGAUGUGAAUUCUCCAUCAUACCAGUGAAACUUUCAGGUGACAUCGCCUGAAAUGUUCACUCGUAAGAUGUCAAAUUUACAUCCUCCAUCGUUGGACGAUCUCGAUCUUGAUCUGGAUACCAACUUAACCUCAGAUGACAUUUUACCACUUGCAGAUGUUGAUGCAGCCACCAUUCUCAACCCAAAAUCUCUCGGUGUUUCAAAACAGAGUCAGAUUGACCCAAAUGGAUUUGGUCAAUCCGGGAGUCGGUACACAUACAAACAUGAUAAGUAUAUAUACAAAUUCUAUAUUUAUACACUUAGGAAUUUUUCAAAAUUCUGUAUAUUUCACUUAUCAGUAUACAAACAAAAUGAUUUAUUAUGAUUCU